rnacentral:lncRNA from 1 species
GAAGUGGUGUAGUUUCACAUUUUAUUAGUGAAGAAGUGUGAGAAUCUUCCUUUUGUGAUACUCUUGGUGUUGUUAUAUUGCAUAAGGACCAAACUCUUGUUGUGAAUAUGCAAGCACUAGUUGAUCCUUUAGAUGACAAAAUCAAUUCUUUUCGUAAGAAUGAUUUGUGUCCAUCUAGUGCUAGCACUUAUAACUUGAAUAAGGUUCCA